rnacentral:rRNA from 1 species
AUUGAACGCUGGCGGCAUGCCUUACACAUGCAAGUCGAACGGCAGCAUGGAGAGCUUGCUCUCUGAUGGCGAGUGGCGAACGGGUGAGUAAUGCAUCGGAACGUACCGUAUAAUGGGGGAUAACGUAGCGAAAGUUACGCUAAUACCGCAUACGACCUGAGGGUGAAAGCAGGGGAUCGCAAGACCUUGCGUUAUACGAGCGGCCGAUGUCAGAUUAGCUAGUUGGUGAGGUAAAGGCUCACCAAGGCGACGAUCUGUAGCGGGUCUGAGAGGAUGAUCCGCCACACUGGGACUGAGACACGGCCCAGACUCCGACGGGAGGCAGCAGUGGGGAAUUUUGGACAAUGGGGGCAACCCUGAUCCAGCCAUGCCGCGUGAGUGAAGAAGGCCUUCGGGUUGUAAAGCUCUUUCGGCCGGGAAGAAAUCGCACAGGCUAAUACUCUGUGUGGAUGACGGUACCGGCAUAAGAAGCACCGGCUAACUACGUGCCAGCCGCCGCAGUAA